GAUGAAGAACGCAGCGAAAUGCGAUACGUAAUGUGAAUUGCAGAAUUCAGUGAAUCAUCGAGUCUUUGAACGCACAUUGCGCCCCCUGGUAUUCCGGGGGGCAUGCCUGUCCGAGCGUCAUUGCUGCCCUCAAGCACGGCUUGUGUGUUGGGCCUCCGUCCUCCUCCCGGGGGACGGGCCCGAAAGGCAGCGGCGGCACCGCGUCCGGUCCUCGAGCGUAUGGGGCUUCGUCACCCGCUCUUGUAGGCCCGGCCGGCGCUUGCCGACACAUCAAUCUUUUUUCCAGGUUGACCUCGGAUCAGGUAGGGAUACCCGCUGACCUUAAGCAUAUCAAUAAGCGGAGGA
rnacentral:misc_RNA from 1 species